rnacentral:lncRNA from 1 species
GGUGCCAAGGCAAGAGACCGAAGCCACAAGCUGUUCCAGUAUAAUAAAGAAAACAAUUAGAAUAAGAAUAGUUAUAUUAGAAAUAGAAUAUAGACAUGAUUGUAUAUGAAUAUAAUCAAUCAUUAGUUUGUAGCAUUACUCUUUAUUUCAUUAUUAUAUUAAUCUCUGUUCUAUAAUUAUUACCUGUUCUAUACUUAUUACCUAUGGAAAGCCAGGCCAUACAGAAUUAGGAGCUGAAGGGACACGGUGAGAAGUGACCAGAAGGCAAGAGUGUGAGCUCUCUAUCAAGCCUGGACAAGGGCCACUAGAGGGCUCCUUGGUCUAGUGGUAACGCCAGUGCCUGGGAAAGCACCCAUUACUUAGCAGACCUUGGUCUAGCUGUAGUGCCAGCGCCUGGGAAGGCACCCAUUACUUAGCAGACCGGGAAAGGGUGUCUCCCUUUCCCCAGGGAAGUUAGAGAACGCUCUGCUUCACCACCUCUUGUGGAAGGCCUGACAUCAGCCAGGACUGCCCGCAGCUAUCCAGAGGCCUAAAUGUCUCCCUGUGAUGCUGUGCUUCAGUGAUCACAUCCUGGUCCACUUUCAUAUUCCGCUCUGUGCACCUGGCCCUGCCUUCUAGAUAGCAGUAGCAGAAUUAGUGAAAGUAUUAAAGUCUUUGAUCUUUCUGAGAAAUGCAUAGAAGAAAUAAUGACAUAAGCUGUUCCCUCUCUCUCUCUCUCUGCCUCAGCUACCAAAUAGGUAAGGGCCUCCUGUCCGGUGGACACGUGACUCGCAUGACCUUACCUAUCAUUGGAGACGACUCACGCUCCUUACCCUGCCCCCCUGCCUUGUAUACAAUAAAUAGCAGCGCAGUCAGGCAUUCGGGGCUACUACCAGUCUUCGCGUCUUGGUGGUAGUGGUCCCUCAGGCCCAGCUCUCUUUUCUUCUAUCUUCUUGUCUUGUGUCUUUAUUUCUACAAUCUCUCGACUCCACAUACGAAGAGAAAAACCCAUAGGCCCUGUAGGGCUGAACCCUACAUUGUGGUAAGGAAAGAAUGUCACUGUCUGACAGGCCCAGGAAACUCAAGAUAUUUGGGACCUUGAGAAGAGAGGAAUUCAUCCAAUUCAUACAGGUACUACAGGCACAGGCUGAUCAUGAAUCCUUGGCUUGGCUUCAAAGCCUGGGGAGGUUUUCAAAAGUCCAACCUGAGAUUCUUUAUGAAAAAGCUCCAGCAGGCCGGGCGUGGUGGCUCAAGCCUGUAAUCCCAGCACUUUGGGAGGCCGAGACGGGUGGAUCACGAGGUCAGGAGAUCGAGACCAUCCUGGCUAACAUGGUGAAACCCCGUCUCUACUAAAAAAUACAAAAAACUAGCCGGGCCAGGUGGCGGGUGCCUGUAGUCCCAGCUACUCAGGAGGCUGAGGCAGAAUGGCGUGAACCCGAGAGGCGGAGCUUGCAGUGAGCCGAGAUCUGGCCAUUGCACUCCAGCCUGGGUGACAGAGCAAGACUCCAUCUCAAAAAAAAAAAAAAAGAAAAGAAAAGAAAAAG